rnacentral:rRNA from 1 species
ACCCGCUGAACUUAAGCAUAUCAAUAAGCGGAGGAAAAGAAACCAACAGGGAUUGCCUCAGUAACGGCGAGUGAAGCGGCAACAGCUCAAAUUUGAAAUCUGGCUCUUGAGUCCGAGUUGUAAUUUGUAGAAGAUGCUUCGGGUGUGGCUCCGGUCUAAGUUCCUUGGAACAGGGCGUCAUAGAGGGUGAGAAUCCCGUAUGUGACUGGUUGCCUUCGCUCAUGUGAAGCUCUUUCGACGAGUCGAGUUGUUUGGGAAUGCAGCUCAAAAUGGGUGGUAAAUUUCAUCUAAAGCUAAAUAUUGGCCAGAGACCGAUAGCGCACAAGUAGAGUGAUCGAAAGAUGAAAAGCACUUUGGAAAGAGAGUUAAACAGUACGUGAAAUUGUUGAAAGGGAAGCGCUUGCAACCAGACUUGCACGCAGUUGAUCAUCCGGUGUUCUCACCGGUGCACUCUGCUGCGUUCAGGCCAGCAUCGGUUUUGGUGGUUGGAUAAAGGCCUUGGGAAUGUAGCUUCUUUCGGGGAGUGUUAUAGCCCUCGGUGCAAUGCAGCCUACCGGGACCGAGGACCGCGCUUCGGCUAGGAUGCUGGCGUAAUGGUUGUAAGCGACCCGUCUUGAAACACGG